UGGUGACAAAAGCGCUGUGGUACCACCCGAUCCCAUCCCGAACUCGGAAGUGAAACACAGCUGCGCCGAUGGUAGUGUGGCUCAAGCCAUGCAAGAGUAGGUCAUCGCC
rnacentral:rRNA from 1 species